GGGAUUGUGAAUGCAGCCUUAGGACAUAGUUACACUCAGCUGUGUGGUGGUCCCAGUAUUUCAUGCUGUGGCACCUUGACUGGACAUAGUGGCAUUACAUGUAGGAGGCAAAUUCUCUCCAACAUGAGGAAAAGAAAGCAGGAAACUGUGACUAAAUGAAGAUCACAGAGCCAGUUGAUCAGUGGGGAAGCUGCAUCUGAAAUCCAGGACUUCUAGAUCCUGGGUCAACUGGGACAAAAACAACACCAACUUUCCCUCCCUAAGAGCUUCUUAUUGUUCAUUUUCGUUGCUAUUUGGAGAAAAAGCUCAUUAAAAUAUUAUGAAGCGCAUAGCAUAAUUACGUGCCAGCCUUUGCCAAUGAGGAACAUCUGUAGCACAGUAAUUUUCAAAGAUGUUUGGAAAUGUGGCCCGUUAGCUAUAGCAGCCAUGAAGAUGUAGGACAAUUGAUUUGAAUCCAUUAUGUUAGAGGAGACUCACCCACACCAAAGAGUCCUGGCCACACUGAGGUAGAGAAGAAGGCUAUGAGGCCCUCUGGACCAGAUGCACACUGCUGUGGAAUUGGAUGUAAACAACGACGGCUCUGCAAUGCAGUGCAACAAUGGGACUCAUGAUGUGUUAUGCUGUGUGAAACCAACAGCGUCCACUUGGCGGGGAAUCACAUUCCAAAGUGUUACUCAAGUAUUGUCCAGAAAUAAAACUUAAAUCAUCUCUCCUGGCUGGCUGAGUGUAAGAAUGUAUUCCUGGAGCUCUACCUAAAGGCAAAUUCCACAGUUGUCUUACCAUCUCCCAAGGGAAACAUAUUUCACAAGAGUUACACUAAGGUAAUCACAAGCGUACAGAUAACAGGUAGGCAGGAAUGUGAAAAUCAGAGAGAAGAGAGAUGUGCACCAGAAGUUGGAGUAAUGUGCUUUGAAGAUGGAGGAAGGGACCAUAAAUCAAGGAAUGCAGACAGCCUGUAGAAGCUGGGAAAGGCAAGGAUGUGGAUUCACUCAAGAGUCUCUAGAAGAAAUGCAACCCCGCCAACACCUUGAUUUGAGGACUUCUGACCUUCAGAAUGAGAAAAUGAUACAUUUGUGUUGAAACUCCAGUUUCGUUACGUGGCAACUUGCUCAGUCCCAGGAGGUGAUUCCUGAUUGUCAUAAGUAAAUCACAGGAAAUUGUAGGAAGAAUUUUAAACAGAGCAAUCUUCCUCUUGUAAAAAUUAACCCAACUCAGAAAUAAAGGAACAAGUGAGUUCAAGAACGUCAUGUCAGUCUGAUAUUUUGAGGAUCAAAAUUCCGGC